AAGCAGAGUCUGAGGUGUGGGAAUGCUGGAGAUGGUUCGGGAGUCCCGGGCCUGCAACGAUGCUGGGGCCAUGGGGUUCUCAGGCUCUUGGACAUCCAGGUGCUGCUGGGAUUUGCAGAAGAGCAGAGAAUGGAGUGGGGAGAGGGGCCAUGGGCUGGGGACAGCGGCUAGCCCAGGGCCAGGGGAAAGGGGAGCUCUGGCUUGUCCCAUGGGUGAUUGUCCUUAGCUUGGUGGGGGCAGGCUAGGUGGAAGUCGUGGCUGGGAGCGCAGAGAGGUCUUCUAUGGGAGAAUUAAGCUGCAUCUCUGCUGUCAGUGUCUUCUCUGAGGCUCCCCUUGGUGGAUCUUGGUGAAGAGACACUCCACGGUUUAUUGUCAGUUUAUUGUCAUGGCAGUUUAUUGUCAUGGCAGAAUAUGGGUACGUAAAACCAUACCCCACUUCUCAGGGUGGGCCUGAGAUUAAAUGCCUUUUGCAGGAAGGAAUGUCUGGGAAGGGAAGCUUAUUGGCUAAGCCCUUCGGGUCUCUAGGUACCUCAUUAGCAUAGAGAACUCUAUUUGGGCCUACAUGACCAAUGAACACAUUUCUUUAAGUGAGGAGUGUGGCAUGUGUUCUAGGCCAGGAGUCUGGCAGGGAGCUGGGAGUCGCCUAAGUCUCCUGUGUGUGCCCACUGAGUCUCUGGGUCUCAACCCGCUCUACCUUACCAAACUUCCUGGCAUGGAUUUAUGCCCCACACCCAGGUGUUUGGAACCCCCAGGUGCUCAUGUGUUCAAAUAAUAGACACCACAGAGAACAAGAAAACAGUCACCUACCGGAGUGGAGUCAACAGGUAGAAUACUGAAAGAAUGAUGGCUAUACUGACAGACAUAAAUAGCAAAAAUAUUAUGUUUUUAGUAAACGUUCCUCCCCCAUGUGAUUUGCUGUUAUUAAAUGAGAAUUGAAUUAUUUUAUCCUGUGAGGCUCAAUAAAGCUUUCCUAUAAUUUUAAC
rnacentral:lncRNA from 1 species